AUGAACGCUGGCGGCGUGCCUAAUACAUGCAAGUCGAGCGAACAGACGAGGAGCUUGCUCCUCUGACGUUAGCGGCGGACGGGUGAGUAACCCGUGGAUAACCUACCUAUAAGACUGGGAUAACUUCGGGAAACCGGAGCUAAUACCGGAUAAUAUAUUGAACCGCAUGGUUCAAUAGUGAAAGACGGUUUUGCUGUCACUUAUAGCUGGAUCCGCGCCGCAUUAGCUAGUUGGUAAGGUAACGGCUUACCAAGGCAACAAUGCGUAGCCGACCUGAGAGGGUGAUCGGCCACACUGGAACUGAGACACGGUCCAGACUCUUACGGGAGGCAGCAGUAGGGAAUCUUCCGCAAUGGGCGAAAGCUUGACGGAGCAACGCCGCGUGAGUGAUGAAGGUCUUCGGAUCGUAAAACUCUGUUAUUAGGGAAGAACAAAUGUGUAAGUAACUAUGCACGUCUUGACGGUACCUAAUCAGAAAGCCACGGCUAACUACGUG
rnacentral:rRNA from 1 species